AACGAACGCUGGCGGCAUGCCUAACACAUGCAAGUCGAACGAAGGCUUCGGCCUUAGUGGCGCACGGGUGCGUAACGCGUGGGAAUCUGCCCUUGGGUUCGGAAUAACAGUGAGAAAUUACUGCUAAUACCGGAUGAUGACUUCGGUCCAAAGAUUUAUCGCCCAAGGAUGAGCCCGCGUAAGAUUGGCUAGUUGGUGAGGUAAAGGCUCACCAAGGCGACGAUCUUUAGCUGGUCUGAGAGGAUGAUCAGCCACACUGGGACUGAGACACGGCCCAGACUCCUACGGGAGGCAGCAGUGGGGAAUAUUGGACAAUGGGCGAAAGCCUGAUCCAGCAAUGCCGCGUGAGUGAUGAAGGCCUUAGGGUUGUAAAGCUCUUUUACCAGGGAUGAUAAUGACAGUACCUGGAGAAUAAGCUCCGGCUAACUCCGUGCCAGCCGCCGCAGUAAUAC
rnacentral:rRNA from 1 species